GUGGAUUAGUGGCGCACGGGUGAGUAACGCAUAGAUGACAUGCCCUUUAGUUUGGAAUAGCCACUAGAAAUGGUGAUUAAUACCAAAUACUACCCUACGGGGGAAAGAUUUAUCGCUAAAGGAUUGGUCUAUGUCCUAUCAGCUUGUUGGUGAGGUAAAGGCUCACCAAGGCAAUGACGGGUAUCCGGCCUGAGAGGGUGAACGGACACACUGGAACUGAGACACGGUCCAGACUCCUACGGGAGGCAGCAGUAGGGAAUAUUGCUCAAUGGGCGCAAGCCUGAAGCAGCAACGCCGCGUGGAGGAUGAAGGUUUUAGGAUUGUAAACUCCUUUUGUCAGAGAAGAUC
rnacentral:rRNA from 1 species